CACGGCGCAGGGGGGGGCUCCGGGGCGCGGGGGGAGGCCGGAGGCUGGAAAGGUGAGAGCGCGGAUUGCCGGAGUGCCGAAAGGAAGCUGGCAUUUGCGAGCUGUGAGUGACGAGCGUACGAAAAAGGAUAGAUACUGUUCAGUGGACUUGGAAUUGUCUUUAGAGUUCAGUUAGAAGACGCACCCAGGACAUCCCACAUGGACCCCUUCACAACAACCACUGUGAUGUGAUGGGCAUACCAUUUCCAGGUACUAGGGUCUCCAAUCUGUCUAGCAUCUAGCCAGUAUCAAGGGGUUAGGAACUACUGUGAUGCAUGAGAUGAGUCAUCUGCUGCUGAGAUCUUGGAAGCAAGACUAAUCAUUAACACGCAUAUUGUUGGCAGUCUAAACUGUUCCCAUAUCACAACCCAGAGUUAUAGGAGAUGGGAACUCUCACCUUGCCUAGCAGAAACGUCACUGAUCUCUGCAUUCUCACCACAGCAUUGCUCACACAGUGGAAUAAAUUGUACUUGCUUGUCAGAACACAGUUUUUAGUUAGGCCGGCAAGAAGUUUCAGUGUCUUAGAGAACUCAGAGAAAUACUUUUUCAGAGACUUUUAUUAUUAUUAUUAUUAUUUUAUUAUUAUUUUUUUUAGACAUGGGGACUUCUCCUUUCGUGAACAGGUCUUCCUCCUAUUCCGUGAUUUUGGCCAACAAGGUUCACAAAGAGAAUGUGCUGCAAAGAGGCUAUGAGUGGACAAGUACUAAAAUUCUGCGUAUUCCCACUGCAACAGCUGUUAACCCUAAUAGAAAUUAGGCAGAUGCCUGCCCAAUAUUAUUAUUAGAUUUUAUGUUUCACACAAAUGAUAAAUCAUUGCUAUAAAAGUUGAGAUAAUUUCCACUGGUAACAUUGAGAAUACAUGAUGUAUUGCUCCUUUUCCAUUUACAUCUCUUUCCAUCUCUUUUCCUUUGAUCUCUUUUCUUUUUCACAGUUUUUGUAGACCCUGUUUUGUUCUUCUUUUCAGAAUUAAAACUUCAUGAAGUAGUCCAGAGGAGGUCAGAUUAAACUUGCAUUAGGAAUACUGUGAAGAGACAUUUUCAAUCCAAGCAAGUAAACAAUUUCUAUCUUUGAAAUAAUAGGAAUGCAUAUCUGCCAACAUUACAUUCUGGCGAACAUUUAAUAGAAUUUUAAAAAAAAUAAUAAAAGAAACAUUUAGUUUGGUCCUAAAAAAAGUAUAUAUAUCUUUAAGACAUUACACAUUUUAUUUUAUUUUGUUCUAUUUUUUUUUCUAAUACAUUAUUUCCUAAUCAUUAAUGUAACAUUGUUUUUGGAAGUUACUAAUUACACUACUCUGAUAACCACAUGGGACCUUAAUUAAAGAUUGUAGUCCAUUGCAAAAUGUACAUGUGUAUAAUGAAAAGGCAAUUAAAAUAUGUUGUUAGAUAACUUGGUUUUAUUACUUAAACUAAACCAAUUAGAUACAUUUUCUUAAAAAAAAAAAGUCAGAAAGCAUGAUAUUUCUCUAUGUUGCAGUUGUUCUCUGCUAUCCAGCAGUGAAAACAAUAAUUAUUAUCAGUUCUUCAUGUUCUUAGAGUUGGCAGGGAUAUUAGUUUGCAUGAAGAAUAUAGCCAUGCAAAAGCACAGUAUCACUUUAGAGGAGAGGCUGCCAACGUCUCUGGUGAGACUUGCCAAAAAAACAGUCACAGUAGGGUGUCUCUACGAGCUCUCUAUCCCUGUGCGUAUAGGUCUUGCUCUUAAGGAUAAUCACCUGCCACUGAAUGGAGCUAUUCACUAAGGCCAAGGGAUUGACUUAAAUACAGUCUCAAGCCUUUAAAAACUGCAAAGGUGCCAAUGCUCUCACUUUAUCAGGAGUCUCCGGAUACUUGGUUAACUUGGGCUCAGUGCCAUAUUAACACUACCACCCAGCCUUGGAACUGAAGUUGCUUUGUAGCUGGCCAGCUGGAAUUUGGGAUAGGUUGACACAUGAAUCUUUAUAUCUGCAUAUACAGCCUUGUUCUCAGUCUUCAAACGUAUCUAAAAAGAAAAGAAAAGAAAAGAAAAGAAAAGAAAAGAAAAGAAAAGAAAAGAAAAGAAAAGAAAAGAAAAGAAAAGAAAAAGAAAAAGAAAAAAUCUUCCUGGAAAUCUAUGUCCCACUGUUUUUAUCAUCCUUCUUUUACAUUUUACAUGAGACAAGGUUAACUGAGCCCAGGAAAUGAAUAUGGUAUGGUGAACUCAUAUAUAUGUCACUCAGCUGAGAGCAAGUAGCUAGUUUCCAUGAAAAAAAUCUUGAUCUGAUGUGAAAGAAUUCAGAUCAAAAGAGUGAGAUGCUGAUUUUGAGAGCCUACACACCUUGGAGGAAUAAGCACCAAAGGGAAUGAGUUUGAAAAGUGGUGAUAAAUUCCACUCCCUGUCUAGGCUGGCAGUUAAACCAUUCAUCCAGUAAGCAGAUCUUGAAAUCUUGAGGCAAUUGAUGCUUCCUUCUCCCCAAACAGCAGUGCCUCUCUGACCUCCUAAGAGAGAAGCAGGAUUUUGGUGACAAGAGUUAUUGAUAAUUUUUUGCCUUUGCUCUUGAAAUUAAGUCAUUGUAUCCAGAAGAGUCAAGUGACUUAAAAAAAAAAAAUAGUUCUCCAACAGUCCUUUGGGUGGGAGAGAAAUGGAAUUCUAGCUCUAGUUCAGAAUAGAUAUGUAUUUUUUGUGCCAUUUGGUUACAAGGACAAUGAAAUAGGAAUAUUCCAAUAGGAGUAAAGACCUGGAAAAAAAAAGAAAAAAAA